GUACGGGAGGCAGCAGUGAGGAAUAUUGGUCAAUGGGCGAGAGCCUGAACCAGCCAUGCCGCGUGCAGGAAGACGGCCCUAUGGGUUGUAAACUGCUUUUUUAUGGGAAGAAAAGGCUCUACGUGUAGGGCACUGACGGUACCAUAUGAAUAAGCAUCGGCUAACUCCGUGCCAGCAGCCGCGGUAAUACGGAGGAUGCGAGCGUUAUCCGGAUUUAUUAGGUUUAAAGGGUGUGUAGGCGGAAGACUAAGUCAGUGGUGAAAUCUCUCGGCUUAACCGAGAAACUGCCAUAGAUACUGGUUUUCUUGAGUACAGUUGAAGUAGGCGGAAUGUGUAAUGUAGCGGUGAAAUGCUUAGAUAUUACACAGAACACCGAUUGCGAAGGCAGCUUGCUAAGCUGUUACUGACGCUGAUGCACGAAAGCGUGGGGAGCGAACAGGAUUAGAUACCCUGGUAGC
rnacentral:rRNA from 1 species